rnacentral:lncRNA from 1 species
GUAAGAAAGGUUAUAUGUUUAGGGUAAACUAUUGGCUUAAAGAGGUCAGUAUUCUGUCUUGUGACAGAAGGCUAGAUUGUGCCGAGUCAUGUUCGAAAUGACGUAGGCUAGGUUGGGCCGAGUGAUGCUCGAAGUAGCGUGAGAUUGAUUGGACCGAGUCACAAUCGAGGCACAUGUUAAGUACCGUGUCAGUACGAUUAAGUGAAUUAGUUGUAUCUUUCUAAUAGUGCGAGCAUUUGGGAUUAAUGGCUAGCGCCAACAAUCCGACAU